AGAAGUGUGUCUGAAAAGGUCAUGAAGAAGAGCUGUCUCUGAUUCAACUGCUCAGUUCCUCGGAGCAGCUGAUUCAGCGGGAAGCGGUGGGAAGUACGGGUUGGUAAAGGUCAACGGCUCUCUGAGAGCCGACGGUAGGAGACCUUUCCCCUUCCUGUGCUCGUGUGUGCUAUAAUCGGGUUUCACUCAGGAUUUGAUUUGUGUGGGAUUUCAAAAUUAGGCCCCGGAAUAAUACAGAUACAAAAAAGGAUAAAUAGAAUCCUAAGAUAAGUGAACAAACAAAGGAAGUAAACAAAAAAGGAAGAAACAAGUCAAGCCAUGUAUUGCAUCAUCAGUAAUGAUAACGACACACCCAGCUCUUUUGCUGGGCAAAGUGCUUCCCUGGUGAUGCCCACUCUCCAGCUCGCUGUGUUCCUAGGUGAUGCCCACUCUCCAGCUUGCUGUGUCCCUAGGUGAUGCCCACUCUCCAGCUCACUAUGUCCCUAGGUGAUGCCCACUCUCCAGCUUACUGUGUCCCUAGGUGUUGCCCACUCUCCAGCUCGCUGUGUCCCUAGGUGAUGCCCACUCUCCAGCUCACUGUGUCCCUAGGUGAUGCCCACUCUCCAGCUCGCUAUGUGGUGAGGUUCUUGCAUCAGUCUUUUCUGCUUGGUAUUUCUAGAGUGCUUUUCGUUUCCUUCGCUAGACCCUAACUGAUAUAUAAGAUUUAAAAGAAUGUAUUGAUCACUAUAUGGAAAGUCAGCUGUUACUUCAAAGAUACAAAUUUGGGUAAAGUCUACCAUCCAAAACAUAGCUCUAAGAGGGAAAAUAUGAAAAAGGAACAGAAGAUUCUCAGAAGUGAAAUGAUUGGGUUACAGAAGAGUGGAAGCACACCUGCUGGGACUUUUGUAUAGUUACUCAGCAGUUAGGAAAUACACAGUUAGGACCAGGUUGCAGCUUAGUGGGCUUCUGGACACAUACCAUACACAAAAUUGGAAGCAGAUUUGGAAUCAAGGAGUGUGGUGGUUUGAAUGAGAUUGGUCCCCCAUAGGCUCAAACAUUUGAAUGAUUGGCUUUCAGUUGGUGGAGCUGUUUGGGAAGGAUUAGGAGAUGUGGCCUUGCUGGAGGAGGUGUGUCACUGGGGGUGGGAGGUUUCAAGAGCUCAUGCCAUUCCCAGUUAGCUCAAGGUCUCUGCCUUGUGCUUGUGGAUAGGGAUGUGAGCUCUCAGAGACUGCUCUAGCACCACACCCUCCUACUGCCAUCCUUCCACCACUAAGAUGGUCAUGGACUGUAACCCUCUGGAACUGUGAGCCCAGUUAACUCUUUCUUUUCUGUGUUGACUUGAUUAUGGCCUCUCUUCACAGUAAUACAACAGUAACUAAGAGAGAUCUAGGUUAGAAUCACAGUUCCAUUGCAUAAACACUUCUUUGACUUUGGGCCAACCCCUUAGCAUCACUGGGUCUCAGUUCCCUCAAUUCUAAAGUGGAAAUAAAUGUCAAACUGAAAAGAAUUGUACUGUUGACAUUUCUUCCCAAGUAGAAUUCUUC